GACGAACGCUGGCGGCGUGCUUAACACAUGCCAGUCGAACGGAAAGGCCCUGCUUUUGUGGGGUGCUCGAGUGGCGAACGGGUGAGUAACACGUGAGUAACCUGCCCUUGACUUUGGGAUAACUUCAGGAAACUGGGGCUAAUACCGGAUAGGAGCUCCUGCUGCAUGGUGGGGGUUGGAAAGUUUCGGCGGUUGGGGAUGGACUCGCGGCUUAUCAGCUUGUUGGUGGGGUAGUGGCUUACCAAGGCUUUGACGGGUAGCCGGCCUGAGAGGGUGACCGGCCACAUUGGGACUGAGAUACGGCCCAGACGCCUACGGGAGGCAGCAGUGGGGAAUAUUGCACAAUGGGCGGAAGCCUGAUGCAGCAACGCCGCGUGCGGGAUGACGGCCUUCGGGGUGUAAACCGAUUUCGCCUGUGACGAAGCGUGAGUGACGGUAAUGGGUAAAGAAGCACCGGCUAACUACGUG
rnacentral:rRNA from 1 species